UAUCUACUCCCUCCGUCCCAAAAUAAGUGUCUUGAGCUUAGUACAAAUUUGUAUUUGUACUAGAGCUAGUACAAAGUUGAGACACUUAUUUUGGGACGGAGGGAGUACAUU
rnacentral:pre_miRNA from 1 species